rnacentral:tRNA from 1 species
GCAGAGGGCCUGUGGCUCAGUGGUAGAGCAUCUGCUUGUCAUGUAGAAGAUCCCAUCUUCAAUCUCUGGCUUCUCCA